rnacentral:rRNA from 1 species
UACGUAGGGUGCGAGCGUUAAUCGGAAUUACUGGGCGUAAAGCGUGCGCAGGCGGCUACUCAAGUCAGAUGUGAAAUCCCCGGGCUUAACCUGGGAACUGCGUUUGAAACUGGGUAGCUGGAGUGCGGCAGAGGGGGGUGGAAUUCCACGUGUAGCAGUGAAAUGCGUAGAUAUGUGGAGGAACACCGAUGGCGAAGGCAGCCCCCUGGGCCUGCACUGACGCUCAUGCACGAAAGCGUGGGGAGCAAACAGG